UUGAACGCUGGCGGAAUGCUUUACACAUGCAAGUCGAGCGGCAGCGCGGGGGCAACCCUGGCGGCGAGCGGCGAACGGGUGAGUAAUACAUCGGAACGUACCCAGUUGUGGGGGAUAGCCCGGCGAAAGCCGGAUUAAUACCGCAUAAGUCCUGAGGGAGAAAGCGGGGGAUCGCAAGACCUCGCGCGAUUGGAGUGGCCGAUGUCAGAUUAGCUAGUUGGUGGGGUAAAGGCCUACCAAGGCGACGAUCUGUAGCGGGUCUGAGAGGAUGAUCCGCCACACUGGGACUGAGACACGGCCCAGACUCCUACGGGAGGCAGCAGUGGGGAAUUUUGGACAAUGGGCGAAAGCCUGAUCCAGCCAUGCCGCGUGCGGGAAGAAGGCCUUCGGGUUGUAAACCGCUUUCAGCCGGAAAGAAAUCGCCACUUCUAAUACGAGUGGUGGAUGACGGUACCGGAAGAAGAAGCACCGGCUAACUACGU
rnacentral:rRNA from 1 species